rnacentral:misc_RNA from 1 species
GAUGAAGAACGUAGUGAAAUGCGAUAAGUAAUGUGAAUUGCAGAAUUCAGUGAAUCAUCGAAUCUUUGAACGCACAUUGCGCCCCUUGGUAUUCCGAGGGGCAUGCCUGCUCGAGCGUCAUUAUAACCCCUCAAGCUCGGCUUGGUGUUGGGGCCUGCUGCACUGGCAGCCCUUAAAAUCAGUGGCGGCGCCAUCUGGCUCUAAGCGUAGUAAUUCUUCUCGCUAUGGAGUCCUGGUGGAUGCUUGCCAUCAACCCCCAAUUUUUCUAUGGUUGACCUCGGAUCAGGUAGGGAUACCCGCUGAACUUAAGCAUCUCAAUAAGCGGAGGA